UUUGAAAAAAGUUAAUGGCCAUCAGGGAGAUUUUCCAAAACACCUAAGGGAUUUAGAAGCAUAAAGUCCUAAUGACUUUAUUGACUAGUUCUUUUCUCACCUGGAUUUUCUUUCCCACUUGGUUGCUUUGAUCCCACUGGUGGUGCCAGUCCCUCCUGUUUCCUCUCGUCCUGUCAUGUUCUAGCAACCUUCAGUAAGCUCCUAAUUUUCAGCUUUGCCAUACAGAACAAGUUGGAAAAGAGAGGUUAGUUACUUUACAGUAACGAGUUCUUCAAGAUGCGUGGUACUUCAGGGUAUUCACUGAGGAUGUGUAUGCACCUAAGAUUUGAAGAUUCUUCAUUAGCUGCAUCGAUAGUCUGUACCCGUGGCUCUGAAUUCAGAGCAUAAGGGGCGAUGAGGACCAACCGGCACUCCAGUUCCUACUCCAGGAAGGAUCCUAAGCAGAGGGGGAGGAGAGAAAGUAAUGGAAUACCCAUAGGGACCACACAUCUCAAAGAACUCAAGUUAUGGUAAGGAAAUGCAUCAUUUUGAGGAGGAAUUAACUUGUUCCAUUUGCUAUAGUAUAUUUGAAGACCCACGUGUACUACCAUGUUCUCACACAUUUUGUAGAAAUUGUCUGGAAAGCAUUCUUCAGCUAUCAAGCAACUUUUCCAUAUGGAGACCACUAAGACUUCCACUGAAGUGUCCCAACUGUAGAAGUAUUGUUGAAAUUCCUCCAUCUGGUACUGAGUCAUUACCUAUCAACUUUGCAUUAAAGGCUAUCAUUGACAAAUAUCAGCAAGAAGACCACCCAGAUGUUGCAACAUGUAGUGAACAUUAUAGGCAGCCAUUAAACGUUUAUUGUCUUUUGGAUAGAAAAUUAGUGUGUGGCCAUUGUCUUACAAUAGGUAAACAUCAUGGUCAUCCCAUAGAUGACCUUCAGAGUGCCUACAUGAAAGAAAAGGAGACUCCUGGGAAACUCCUUGAGCAAUUAACUGAUGAACAUUGGACUAAUGUAUGUUUCCUCAUUGAAAAGUUGGAAGAACAGAAAUCUCAUUGUGAAAACAUUGUUCAAGAUGAUAAGAAAGCUGUAUUGCAAUAUUUUAAGAAACUUAAUGACACACUGGAGCAUAAAAAGCAAGCUUUGCUAGCUGCUUUGGAUGAAGUUAAUGCUCACAUUUCUGAAGAAUAUGCACCACUCGUUGAAAACGUGAAAAGAAUCAGAGAAGAACAGCUUGAUUUAAUGUCACUGAAUACAUCUGUUCAAGAAGAGGAGUCUCCACUUCUUUUCCUUGAAAAGGUUGAUGAUGUGCGCCAACGCAUAAAAGCUUUGAAACAAAAGCAACUACCAGAUAUCAAACCUGUUGAAGUUUAUCCACGAAUAGGACAGCUAUUGAAGGAUGUGUGGUCCAAAACUGAAAUUGGUCAGAUUAACAAGAUCCUCACUCCAAAAAUAAAGCUGAUUUCAAAAGGGAAGGUAUGUCACAAAGGCAGUGAGAAGGAAAGAGGACAGUCUAAGGAAUUGCUCCAGUCUAUAAACCCUCUAACAGUGAUGCUAAUUUCUAUGACGAUAGUGAUAAUUAUGAUUUCAUUUACUAAACCUGUAUUGUCAGUUGUAAAUGAAGUAACUUUGAUCUAUAUUUCAGACAUCUUGCAGUUUGUUUAUCAAGAUCUAUGCAACAACUUGCAGGCAGUAAUGGAAAUGCUAUGCCAUACAUCUAGUUUACUGAUGGAAUUCAUGGGGAGAAUUGUUUCUUUUUCUUUCUGAGUAUCUGAAAUACUGAGAUUAGCAGUUAGGAUAAUUAUAGGAAUUCUUGUUAUGUCUGAACUAUUUAUUGUACAAGGCUUUUUUUAGUUUUUAUCUAAAUGCUAUUGAAAUAAUAGAUCCUUUACAAAAAAUUUAAACUGGUUCUCUAGAUUAAUUAGUCCCAGAAUCAGUACACCGGAUCACCCCCAUCUGCAGAAAUAUGUGAAGGACAAGACUGAAGAGUGUGUGGGGCAGGGUUCUCUCUUAAUACCCCAAUUUUCCUCUUAUCUUUUCCUGUCCUUUGCCCCCACUACCCUGCCCAUUUCUGAAUCUCUGCUUUUUGCUGAUUAUCAUUCAACUCAAUGAGAGCUGGAUGGUAAUUCCUCCUAAAGUAGUAUGUACCACUCUUCAGUUGCAUGUAAGGGGUCACAGUCAAAUACAUUGCUACUUCAUCACUUGCCCAUACUAAUUUGUAAUGUAGGAGAGCCUAAAGAUACUAAACAUACAUCUCCAGGAAAAAAUCAAGAACAAGUCAGAACUGAUGCAUAUUAUCUCUAAGAAAGCCAUAAGUUCACAGAUUCCAACCUAGGAAAGGCAGUUUCAACAGACUGUAACUACUUCUCAAGCAUCUACUACCCAGUCCCUUCUUUAAACUAAUUUUUUAGGUAGGGUGUGGCUAAAAGUACCACAGAAUUAAAUAUGGGAAGAGAAGACAAAUCCUAGAGUUUCAGACAUUAAAACUGAGCUGGGUAAAUCAAAGUGUUGAGCCAGUCAUUGGCUCCAGUGUACAAAAAGUGUAUAUUAUAAGUAUUUGUAUAUUGCAUUUUAGUAGACCUACUACACCUAUCUACAGUGAAACCAUUUUUUGGUCAUUAAAUCAUUUAUGAAAUGACUGGGGUUCAUCCUGUUGGCUCCAGGCUGUUAGUUGGAUCAUAUUGCUUCAAGUUUCCUUAUGUACAUCAUGUAUAAGUGAUCUUGUAUCUUUCAAGUAGAUGCGGGUGCUACUCUAAAACUUUUGGGAUAAUAUUCCUUGGUAAAAUAUAAAAGUACAGUCCCGAAAAGUGCUGAAUGUGUGCUGCUUUACUAAAUGAUGUAAAUGUGCAAGCAAGAAAUUCUAGUUAAGAUAUGGGGUGAAAUCCUGCACUGUAGUAAAUGGCAGAACACCCACAGACUUCACUGGGACCAGGAUUUCAUCUUAUUUAUUUAUUUAUUUUUUACAGCUUUUUCUUUAAAAAAUAAUGUGAAAAUGCAGUAUAAAUGUCAUCUUAAAUAUUACUGCACAUACAUUUAAUUUGAAAUGUAGUCUACUUUACUCUGAAACAAAAAUGUUGACACCCUUCCUCUAUAAUCAAAUUAAGUGCAGUAUAUUCCUUUAGUUAAAAUACAAGGGACUGAUUAUGUCCCCACUGAAGUUAAUUUUUAAUAGGUUGAUUGAUUUACACUUAACAGUGAAGAUUUCCCAGUAGCAUGAGUCUUUGGAUUGAUGCUAUGGGAAUAACUCAGCACACAUGAGCUCCAAAUGGUAGGUUAAUUUUGAUGCCAGUUCUUUUUAAAAAAAAAAAAAAAAAAAAGAGAGAUUUUUAAAAAUACUGUUUGCAACGUAUCAACAAAUGUGUUUUUAGUUUUUUUUAAAAAGUUCAUUUAAACGCAACAUGCCUGCUUAAACUAAGCGAUUAGCAUUCAUAUAGCACUUCACAUUUUAAAAGCCUUAUUUAAAAAAAAACAUACAUAUUCAAGGCAUGAUCCUGCAAAAUGCCAAGAACCUUCAAUUCCCAUUGACUUCAGUGGGAGUUGAGGAUGGUCAGCAUCUCGCAGUAUCAAACCCCAAGUUAAAGCAUUAGUAAUCUUAACUAUCACAGUGUUGAGCAUGUUCAACACCAACCAGGAUUGGGCCCUUGUUCCUGUAAAAUGGUAUUUUAAGCGAUCAUUCUUGUACCAUACAAACCAGGCUCUACAUACCAACUAACAAUUUGUGCACUCAAUUUUAAAACUCAGGCCCAAAAUGUAGAGUUUAAAAAAAACCCAACCCAAAUGUAAUACUUAGAAGUGUUUGUGAUUAUAAUAUUAUAAUUUCUUUUAUAAAAUAUCUUUGUUUAGAGCUGGAAAUGCCUCUGUAACAGAGUUUACAAUCUGAACAAAGUAGCAGUAUGUUAGGACAGGAAAAUGGAAAGUAAAACUAAUUUUUUUUUCAUUGUUCAGCCAGAAAGUAAUGGAAAUAAGCAGCCAGCAUAAAGAGGAAUCCAAUCAAUUUUAUGCAGAGGUGUGUUUCUAAAAAGUUACAUUUGAGAGGGCUCCUCUGGAGCAGAAGAGAGGAAGUUUGUAGUUGUCUAGCGUCGUCAAGAAGUCCCAGUGCGGCGUGCCCCACUGGCAAAAGAGCAAUUGGAGGGUGAAGUUCGUGAAGUUCCCACUCACGAUUGGUGUGGAAGGAAUGGCUGAGCAUGUCCUCUAGAGAAUUGCUGGUGCCCAGGAGGUGUAUAGCAUAGAGGGUCACCCUGUACCUGAGACUCCAAUUCCAAAGAAGGAUGGCGUUCAUGCAGAGGGAGGAGGACCUGGCCAUGCUCUGCUUGUUGAUGUAUACAACUGCUGUCAUGUUGUUGGAAAGUGGCUGAAUACGGUGGGAAUGGAUGAAAGGCAGGUAUGCCCAGCAGGCAAAGCAGACAGCCCGUAGUUCCAGAAUGUUGAUUUGCAUCCACGCUUCCCGGGGCAACCAGAGGCCCUGAGCUGCAUGGCCGUCCAGACUAACACGGCUGUUACUCUGAAACAGAUCAAGACCAGACAUCCAGCUCCAUGACAGAAAUGCAGGGAGGGGAUGGGGGACUGGAGAUUUCCCCAGAGGGAAUGGUCAGCCCUCCCCAACCCGAGAUCCAGGUGUCAAGAUGGAGGGAUGCCCUUAACCCCAGACCAGAGUCUAUGGCAGCAGUUGUAGAUCCAGUUCCUGGGACCCAGCCAGAACCAGGCUAAGGAUCAGAACUGGCAGAGCAGUCAACUCCAGAGCCUGUGCUUGCAACCCCACCAGUCAGGGGAGCCGGCACCAAAGGGUGCCACAAAACCUGCACCUGCAGCAGCAGCUAAACUAGUGCAAGAAGCUCAACCGGAGCCUGAAAUAUGACCUAGUGCACCAGUGGAGAGCGGUUCACAGGUGAGAGAGACACCCCCAUCACCUGCAUCGCUACCAGGAGGACCAAGCCCAAGUCCACAACCCAGCGAGGAACUGUCUCCAGCAUCAAGGUGGCAGUUCCAGGCAGAGCAGGAAGCGGAUGAAAGCCUCAAGGGAACUUGGACAGCAGCAUGGAGUGACCCACCACCUCUCAGCUCUUCUAAUAGGUCCAGCUCUUCCCCGAAAGGGCUUGAAGGUACCCCCCAGGAAGGAAUUCCCAAGUGCACUUUCCUGGUUCUCAAAGGGGUUUUUGCACUUGGUUGGUGGUGGCACCAUCUACCCCUCCAAGGUCAGAGAAAAGUUGUAACCCUUAAUAGAAGCCUGUAAUACAGGCCAGUAUUAAUUUUUAAAUCCUUGUGGGCCUGUACCUUCUGUACUCAAAGUGCCAAAGUGGGGAGCCCACCAUGUCAAGGUACUCAAGGGGGCGCCAUAGCUGGCCCCACGGAUACUGCUAAGGCAAAAAUCUCCAUGACUAUGCACCUGGGCAUGCACACACACAAUGGAAUGGACACGAGCAAAAUCUCUCGAACAGUUACGAAAAGAUCUGAGGCUACACUAAUUGCCCAGGCUAUGUUGGUCUAUACUACCUCUUUGGGAAGAGAGAUCCUGGAGGAACAUGUGGAAAAUUACUCGAAGAAAAAUGCCUGAUUAGUUGGGUGACCAUGUAUUCCAACAGCAGUGACCAGAAUAUUACACAUUGACUGAUUCAAGCAAUGCCAAAUGAACUAAAGCUAUGCAAGAAGUUAGCCACCUGCUGGGGAUGGUGGUAAAGCAAUGUAAAGAGAUUAAGCCUAAUGUGAUACUAAUGAGCUGGAUUAUAUUAAUUCUAUUAAGAGUAUGCUUUGGAAGAUAGUCAGUUCCAGUAGGUUGUGAUGGUGUCAUAGAAGCUGUCUUACUCCUGGGAACAUCAGCCACCCAGGAUGCCUGGUACUUGCUCUCACAUGACCUGUGGAUGAUGUUCAGCUAAGGAACGUACCUGUUGGUCAACCGGGAGCCAUUAUGUAAUCUUUUAGACCAUUGGCUUAUUGUGCUUGUCUUGCUGCUAGAACCUAUCCAGAGGCUCGGGACACCCAACCCGUCGCUUCUCUCCACUCAAUGAGCUAAUCAAAGGAAUCUGUGGAAAUGCGUACGAGACUUGAUCCCAUGAUUCUAAGGAAGGAUUCCUAUAAUGUUGCUGGACUUGUGCCUCUCCUGGAAGAAGAGGUUGGACUUUUGCAUUGUCUUAUGUGGUAAACAGGUCUACUGAUGAAAUAUUGGCUUGAUGGAAGCCUUCAGAGAUCACUCAUGGUUGGCAAUGGAUUGUCUGCUGAGGAAGUCUGCUAGUUUACUGUUGAUUCCUGGAAGAUGAACAACUGACAUUAUCCCAUGUUGUUGACAGCCUCUUGACAGACAGGUGAUGAGCAGGCACCUCCUUGUUUUAGAGGAAAUUAUCAUUGCUGAAGGUACAAAUAAAGAGAAGACAAAAAACAUGUUAACACAACCGGAAAUGAAUUUUUCCAGAUUUCUUCUGCUGAAGUAGACCAUCAAGAACCUUUCCUCGACUGCGAUUUAUUGCCAAAGAACUUUUUGCUUCUUCUACCUUCUGACGUAGCUUUCGAACAAGGUUCUUAGUGUCCAUUUCCUCUCUUCCAAGUUUCUCAAGCUCAUUCUCUUUCUACCAAUAGUUAAAAAAAGUUAAUUGAAAAUAUUCAUAUCUGAAAAUCUCAGAAGCAGUCUAUGUAUUUAAAGUUCAGGCACGCUUAUAGUAAUGAUUGUAUAAGAAAAGUUAAUAAAGAGUAAAAUCAUCAAUCAUAAGAUAUCAGAGAUAGCAAAUGUUUAGUGUUGAGUAAACAAUGAAUGGAAACAUUCUUUAUUCAAACAGCUACUUCUAAAAUUAAAUGGAAAAAUACAUUAUACUUUAUAAUGUGCACUUUCUGACAAAGUUUUAAGAGAAGCUACAUAUUUAGGUUGACAUUUUCCAAGGGGUCUAAGGGAGCUAGAUGCCCAAUUUAUUUAGGCUCCUUGGAAAAUCCCAGCCUUAAGCAGAAAAACAAAUAGAAUAUAUAGUAUAUGUGCAAACAGUUGUACAAACUUAAAAUUACAUCAAGAUUGUUGAUUUCCAGAGCUUAAAUGUCAGCAUUUAAGUAAUCCCAAAUAUGCUUUGAAGUUCAAACUUCACUGAGAUGAAAUAGUGUUUUGAUCUUUGCCACUGCUUGGUUGGAGAUAAUUUUCUACUUGUUUACAUAAGGGUUAUUUCUUUGCAACUGAAACAAAUGUCUAAAAUUUCUAAAACUUGCAGAAUAUUGUACAAUGCAGCAGUAUAUUAGAAACAUUUUUCUACUUCUCAUAGUUAAGAAUUUUUUGGGAAUCAUUUUACUGCACGCAUUUCAAUGUUCAAUAAAAACAUCCUUUAUGGAAGCUAUUCUAGCACCAUUUGAGAGCACCACCCUCCCCUGCCAACCCCCUUCUCUAGAUCAACAAUCACCCUCAUGUCUGAUAGCUGAGCAAAAAGAAAGAUGGAACAAUUUCAUUGUUUGUUGAAUUCUUAGCACAUGGUACCAAGCAUGUUUAGACAUGAUUUUUUAGUCACUUAAUUACUACCUCCCCAUCCAACCAAAAAAAUGUUAGUAGUCCUCAGUGAGGACCACAUCCAUAUAUAACACAAUAAUAGUGUUUUAAUAAACUUUCUGAAUUUACAUUUAGGCCGAGAAUAAAAAUAAAUUAUCUAGAAGGUUUUUUUUUUUGGAAAGUUACCCUUUGGGUUAAAAAUUUUCAUGUUUGUUUAGGACCUAAUACUUUGUUUCUCAAGUUCUGGGUAAAUUUCUGUUUGGUGGUUUGAGAAAGAAGGCUUUAUGUAUUAACUAGUUUCUCAGGUUAAAAAAGAAAAGAUGUUUCACAACUCCAAAAUUUUGUAUUGACUUAGCCCUUAAUGAGAACAAGUGUGUUUGACACAUAUGAAAAAUUGUAUUUAGAAAUAAUAAAAUUGUGUUAGGUGUAAAUGAAUGCAUACGAAUGAGGUCAUGCUUUUUUCUUCAGUUUUACUUUUGAAGUAAAGGAAACUCAGCUAGAAGCCACUACAACAUGAAGUUGAGAAUUUAAAUGCACAAGUCAGUACACUCAAAGUUUUAAUUCAUGGCAACCAUACUACUACUCCAUUUAUGAAUUUUUCUAUUACUGUAUCCUUUGAACAGUGCAGCUUACAUUUUGACCGUGAGGUUUUUUUUAAAGUAAGUUUUAAGAUUAGAAAUGUUUCCAUAAUUUUUUUUUUAACCCCACUGAGAAAUUUUAAACAAACAGAUCUCUAUAACGUUUGAAACCUGAACACUGCAUUAUAAUGUAUCUGGAAAUACACCGUAACUAAUAAGAAAGCAAGACUGUUUAUUUUCAUUGUCGAAGAUUAAAACUGUGAAGAGCAGAAGCAGAAAUUUGAUUAAAAUUUUCACUUAGUCUAAGGUAUUAACUGACUAGGUAGAGAAAUUUUGUUCACAACAUGAUUUUAAGCUGACACUGUUUCCUUUAAAUACAUUUCUAGCCUGAAAAGUGACUGUAAGAGUAGCUUAAAUGGAAUUUUUUAUUUAGAGUAUCUGACUUAGAUACUAUUUGCUGAAUUUAUAAGGACAAUCUCCCCGCCCCCCCACCCCAAUUGCGAGUCCUGAAAACUCACUGAAUAUGAAAUGUCAAACCAUGUUUAUUCAGGUUUAAUCACCACUGCCAAUAUAAAAUAUCCUUCAGGCCAUAUUCUUCCCUUGGAAAAAAAUGGUUACUGACCUCCUGUAAUUGUUGUUCAUGUCCAUUCCAUGUUAGGUGCACUGCAUGCACCGUUGCCAGAUUUUUUCCCUCAGUAGUAUUCAUCAGGCCAGCUCUAGUACCUCCGGUGCUGCACACUUACGUGCCAGCAUAAGGGGCGCUGCUGGCCCCACAUCCUCUCAGUUCCUUCUUGCCAGCUAACUCCAUAUAUCAAGAAGACUAAACCAUUCUGCAGAUCCAUGCAACUCUUUGUGGCAGCAGCAGAGAGGAUGAAAGGCCUACUGGUUUCAGCCCAGAGAAUCUCAUCCUGGUUAACCUCUGGCCAGAAACACUACUGAAGAGGCCUGAGCUCUCGUGAAGUGAGUGGUCAGGAUGGCUGGGGGUGGGACAUUCACCUUUCACAGCAUGCCCAAAUACAAGAGGUUAUCCAGGAUGAGAUUCUCUGGGCUGAAACGUGUAGGCCUUUCAUCCUCUCUGCUGCUGCCACAAAGAGUUGCAUAGAUCUGCAGAAUGGUUUAGUCUUCUUGAUGUACAAGGUGAGGGCACGCCUAACACCCAAUGAGUGAAGCCGCCACUCUUCUGAAUUCUUGUGAGGCUUCGGGAAGAAGAUAAACAGGAAAAUGGCCUGGUUGCUAUGGAACAGCAAAACCACGGUUAGCUGGAAGGCUGGCUGUGGGCACAGUGGGACCUUGUACUUAAAGAACAUCAUGUACGGUGGUGUGACGCAAGGGUCCUGAUUUCAGAGAUCCUUCUGGCUGUGGUAAUUGCUACCAGGAAGGCGACUGUCCAGGAAAGCUGCAGAAGAGGACACAACAGUAGGGGUUCAAAGGGAGGGCCUGUCAGUUUCAAUAGGACUAGGUUUAAGUCCCAUGGAGGAAUCGGAUUGUGAACCUGAGGGUAAAGUCUCUCCAACCCUUUAAAAAAAGCUAAUUGUCAUCUUGAGAGAGAAAACUGACCUACUGCCCACUUAGCGAGGUAGGUAGCCCUAGUGGAUUGCUUCCUCCUACCCAGCAAGACCUGUAGAACCUGUUCUGAACAGGCUUGCUCUUCUGGGUUCAGCCAUGUAACUUCCAUAUAGUCAGGUGAAGGAACCUCAGGCUUGAGUGGAGUAAGAGGCCGUGGUCUUGCAAAAUUAGGUCUGGGCAGAGUGGUAGAGGUAGGGCUACUGAUAAGUCUAGCACCAUGCCGAACCAGUGUUGGCAUGGCCAUGGCAGGGCUAUAAGAAUAAUUCUCACUUGUCCCGCUUGAUUUUCAGGACCAUGUGAACUAGAAGAAAUAUGUAGAAUAGGAACUCUGUCUAUGGAAGCAGGAAGGCAUUGAAAAAGGAGCCCAGGCUGUGCCCGCACAGAGAGUAAAACUGAUGGCAUUUCCUGUUCUGCUUGGUCAUGAACAGGUCUACCUGGGCACAUCCCGACCUUUGGAAGAUUAACCUGGUGACCUCUGGGUGGCCUCAUGAUCCUAUCUCGGUGGUGAAGCCGAAAAAUGGGCCAGUUAUUGAGGCCAGAAGUGCUUCCUUGCAAUGGAUGGAGCAUAGCGGCCCAGGGACCUGAGGGUAGCGCUUGGAGUCUAGUUUUCAGAGCAAACAGACACGACAAGGAGUCUUCGAAAGGGAGGUCCGGGAUCAACUGCUGGACUUCUUGAGGGUCACCCCAAGGACUGUAGCCAAGAGCAUCACCUCAUGGACACUGCAGCGGCCAUCAUCCUGGCUGCUGUGUCAGCUAAGUCCAGUGCCACCUGGAGAGAGGCUCUAGCAACAUUCUUUAAGAGGGCAGAGAAUUCCUGCCUUGAGUCCUGGGGCAUGGAGUCUUUAAAUUUGGACAAGGAAUCCCACACGUUGUAAUUGUAUCUCCCCAGCAGGGCUUGCUGGUUUGAGAUAAGUAGCUGAAGACCACCUGUGGAAUAAACUUUCCUCCCAAGCAGA